GGGGAUUUAGCUCAGUGGUAGAGCGCUUGCCUAGCAAGUGCAAGGCCCUGAAGUGCAAGGCCCUGGGUUCGGUCCCCAGCUCCG
rnacentral:tRNA from 1 species